AUUGAACGCUGGCGGCAGGCCUAACACAUGCAAGUCGAGCGGAUGAAGGGAGCUUGCUCCUGGAUUCAGCGGCGGACGGGUGAGUAAUGCCUAGGAAUCUGCCUGGUAGUGGGGGAUAACGUCCGGAAACGGGCGCUAAUACCGCAUACGUCCUGAGGGAGAAAGUGGGGGAUCUUCGGACCUCACGCUAUCAGAUGAGCCUAGGUCGGAUUAGCUAGUUGGUGGGGUAAAGGCCUACCAAGGCGACGAUCCGUAACUGGUCUGAGAGGAUGAUCAGUCACACUGAAAAGGAGAAACGGUCCAGACUCCAACGGGGGGCAGAGGGGGGAAAUUUUGGAAAAGGGGGGAAAGCCUGACCCAGCAAUGCCGGGGGUGGAAAGAAGGUUUUGGGUUUGAAAAGCACUUUAAGUUGGGGGGAAGGGGAGUAAGUUAAUACCUUGCUGUUUGGACGUUACCAAAAAAAAAAACACCGGCAAACUUCGU
rnacentral:rRNA from 1 species